rnacentral:rRNA from 1 species
UUAAAUUCGAGAGUUUGAUCCUGGCUCAGGAUGAACGCUGGCGGCGUGCUUAACACAUGCAAGUCGAACGGAGGUGUACGCUGAAGAAGCUUCGGCAGAUUCUUGUGCACCUUAGUGGCGGA